UACGGAGGAUGCAAGCGUUAUCCGGAGUGAUUGGGCGUAAAGCGUCCGCAGGUGGCUAUGUAAGUCUGCUGCUAAAGAGUGAGGCUCAACCUCAUAAGAGCAGUGGAAACUACAUGGCUAGAGUGCGUUCGGGGCAGAGGGAAUUCCUGGUGUAGCGGUGAAAUGCGUAGAUAUCAGGAAGAACACCGGUGGCGAAAGCGCUCUGCUAGGCCGCAACUGACACUGAGGGACGAAAGCUAGGGGAGCGAAUGGG
rnacentral:rRNA from 1 species